UCCUCGUUUAAGCGAGGCAGUCUGUCCAGAGUGCUUCGAACUCUCGUCCGAGUGGCAACAGGACACAGGGGUUGCGCUCGUUGCGGGACUUAACCCAACACCUCAUGACACGAGCUGACGACAGCCAUGCAGCACCUGUGCACACUGGUAUUGCUACCUCGUCACCCUUUCAGGCUUCUACUAUGUGCGUGUCAAGGCCAGGUAAGGUUCUUCGCGUUGCAUCGAAUUAAGCCACAUACUCCACCGCUUGUGCAGGCCCCCGUCAAUUUCUUUGAGUUUUAGUCUUGCGACCGUACUUCCCAGGCGGGGUACUUAUUGCGUUAGCUCCGGCUCGGCGGGGGUCAAGACCCACCAUGCCUAGUACCCAUCGUUUACGGCGUGGACUAC
rnacentral:misc_RNA from 1 species